rnacentral:rRNA from 1 species
UACGUAGGGUGCGAGCGUUAUCCGGAAUUAUUGGGCGUAAAGAGCUCGUAGGCGGUUUGUCGCGUCUGCUGUGAAAACUGGAGGCUCAACCUCCAGCCUGCAGUGGGUACGGGCAGACUAGAGUGCGGUAGGGGAGAUUGGAAUUCCUGGUGUAGCGGUGGAAUGCGCAGAUAUCAGGAGGAACACCGAUGGCGAAGGCAGAUCUCUGGGCCGUAACUGACGCUGAGGAGCGAAAGCAUGGGGAGCGAACAGG